rnacentral:misc_RNA from 1 species
AACAAUUAUGCAUAGAUUGAACAGGACAGUAGAAAGAAAAAAUAGCAGACAACACAUACCCAUUUCACAGGAAAGGAAAUAAAAUUAGAAAAACCCAAAAUCCCGGGCUUGCAAGAUAAUUGGAAAACAGAACAGCAUUUCAACAAAAACAAAACCCCAGGUUUGAAGACCUGGUAGUUAUGGGUUCAAAUUUUCAUUAUGAAUUAAAGCGAACACAGAAUCAAAGUUUAGAAGCUAAACGGGGUUAAAUAACAAAACAAAUGAAUUCGUGUGCAAGAUCAAUUUCUAGCAUAUAGCCAGAAUCAGAAUUUGGAAACCAAUAAAACAUUCACAGCAAAAGACACGAAUUUAGACAAUAAAGAAUCAAAACUCUAUGCAAAAUAAGAAGAAAAAGACAAAAAUAUGUAAAUUCGAGUUAUCACAGUUAGAAUUAUUAUUGCAACCAAUAGAAAAGGGAGUGAAAGAGAAGUUCUAAAGCAAUAGUAAACUGACCUUUGCUUGUGAGGAAGCCAAGA